GUCUACUUCCAUGCCACCCUGAACGCACCUGACCUCGUCUGAUCUCGGAAGCAAAGUAGAGUGGGGCCUGGUUAGUACUUGGAUGGGAGAAAACAGUAUAGUGAGUGCAGGGAUAAGAAUGGACA
rnacentral:rRNA from 1 species